GAAUAUUGGACAAUGGGCGCAAGCCUGAUCCAGCCAUCCAGCGUGCAGGAAGACGGCCCUACGGGUUGUAAACUGCUUUUGUCAGGGAAUAAACCCUUGGAUUUACUCCGAGGCUGAAGGUACCUGAAGAAUAAGCACCGGCUAACUCCGUGCCAGCCGCCGCGGUAAUACGGAGGGUGCGAGCGUUAUCCGGAAUUACUGGGUUUAAAGGGUGCGUAGGCGGCUUUGUAAGUCAGGAGUGAAAGUUUGCGGCCCAACCGUAAAAUUGCUUUUGAUACUGCAAGGCUAGAAUCAGGAUGAGGUCAGCGGAAUGUGGCAUGUAGCGGUGAAAUGCAUAGAUAUGCCAUAGAACACCAAUUGCGAAGGCAGCUGGCUAGACCUGUAUUGACGCUGAGGCACGAAAGCGUGGGGAGCGAACAGG
rnacentral:rRNA from 1 species